CCUAACGUUACCUGUGGAGGCAGGAAGGAGGGCAGAAGACUGGACCCUGCUGCCCAGAUGACAGAACCAAGGCAAAGUGCUGAAAGAAAAGACCCAUCGAAGAAAUAUCCUUUCAAACAGACCUCACCGCCCCAGCCACAUAUUGCGGGGGCAGGCUGUGAUCGUCAGUCACAGCGCUCGAAUCAAUAUCUUGGGUCUUUAUCAUAUUUGCAAGAGAACAAAACACGGUCAGAGUCAGCUUUCGAUCGGAGCAAAUAUAUUGAUCAGGACUGGCAGCGCCAAUGCCAACAGAGUGAUCUUUCAUACUGACAUGAGGUACAGAAUGUAAUAGACUACCUUCCUGCCUCACAUGUUCUGUAACCUCAGAAUUGGCUGAAGGGUUCCACUGAACUGGAAGAUCAUGCAUCUGGUUCAAAGCACCCAGCCAGGCUGCUGCAGAGAAAAUCUGGGUCCAGCAAGUUCGAUUAAGCUGGCUAAUUUUCAGUCAAACAAGCUAAUUUCCAGACAGAUUCUUCUGAUGUUUUCCCUCUGUUUGUAAUUUGCAUCAUUAAAUAGCUCGGGGUUUCAAAGCAGCCACACUAGGAGAGGGCUAGCGUGUCUUAUGGGAUCAGAGACAUUUUACUGGGGUGAGAAGAACAGCUUGUCCGUCUGUGCUUCUAAAACACCACACAGGUUCACAGGAAAUAGUGGUAAUUGACCAAUCAAUCAAUUGGUGG